GUGGGGAAUCUUGCGCAAUGGGCGAAAGCCUGACGCAGCAACGCCGCGUGCGGGAUGAAGGCCUUCGGGUUGUAAACCGCUUUCAGCAGGGACGAAAAUGACGGUACCUGCAGAAGAAGCUCCGGCUAACUACGUGCCAGCAGCCGCGGUAAUACGUAGGGAGCAAGCGUUGUCCGGAUUUAUUGGGCGUAAAGAGCUCGUAGGCGGUUCCGUAAGUCGAGUGUGAAAAAUCUGGGCUCAACCCAGUGAAGCACUCGAUACUGCGGUGACUAGAGUACGGUAGAGGAGUGUGGAAUUUGUGGUGUAGCGGUGAAAUGCGCAGAUAUCACAAGGAACACCAACGGCGAAGGCAGCACUCUGGGCCGGUACUGACGCUGAGGAGCGAAAGCGUGGGGAGCAAACAGGAUUAGAAACCCUAGUAGUCC
rnacentral:rRNA from 1 species